UUUCAGAGGUCAGUGGUAGAACUCUAGCCUAGCAUGUGUAAGACCAUGGGUUCAAUCCUCAUAACUGAAAA
rnacentral:tRNA from 1 species